UGAAUACGAGACGCUACGGCGUCGAAGCAGUCUAUGUCAUACUUCCAAGAAAAGCUUGCACUGUCAUAAACAAAUAAUGCCUGUACCAUAACCGACACAGGUGGGUAGGUAGAGUAUACUAAGGGGCGCGAGAUAACUCUCUCUAAGGAACUCGGCAAAAUGACUCCGUAACUUCGGGAGAAGGAGUGCCUUAUUUAUAAGGUUGCAAUAACAAGAUCCAAGCAACUGUUUAUCAAAAACACAGGUCUCCGCUAAGUCGUAAGACGAUGUAUGGGGGCUGACGCCUGCCCAGUGCCAGAAGGUUAAAGAAGUUGGUUAGCAUUAGCGAAGCUGAUAACUGAAGCCCUGGUGAACGGCGGCCGUAACGAUAACGGUCCUAAGGUAGCGAAAUUCCUUGUCGGGUAAGUUCCGACCCGCACGAAAGGCGUAAUGAUUUGGAUACUGUCUCAGAGAGGGGCUCGGUGAAAUAGACUUGUCUGUGAAGAUGCGGACUACCUGCACCAGGACAGAAAGACCCUAUGAAGCUUUACUGUAACUUGAAAUUGAAAUUGGACUUUAUUUGCGCAGUAUAGGUGGGAGGCAUUGAUAAUAUUCUUGCGGGAAUGUUGGAGCCAUCAGUGAGAUACCACUCUUGUAAUGUUAGAUUUCUAACUUUGGAUCAUUAUCUGGUCAAAGGACAGUUUCAGGCGGGCAGUUUGACUGGGGCGGUCGCCUCCUAAAUGGUAACGGAGGCGCACAAAGGUUUCCUCUGAACGGGUAGAAAUCGUAUCUAGAGUGUAAAGGCAUAAGGAAGCUUGACUGUGAGACCUACAAGUCGAGCAGGGACGAAAGUCGGUCUUAGUGAUCUGACGGUGCUGAGUGGAAAGGCCGUCACUCAACGGAUAAAAGUUACUCUAGGAUAACAGGCUGAUCUCCCCCAAGAGUUCACAUCGACGGGGAGGUUUGGCACCUCGAUGUCGGCUCAUCGCAUCCUGGGGCGGUAGUACGUCCCAAGGGUUGGGCUGUUCGCCCAUGAAAGCGGUACGCGAGCUGGGUUCAGAACGUCGUGAGACAGUUCGGUCCAUAUCCGGUGUAGGCGUUAGAAUAUUGAGAGGAGCCUUCUUUAGUACGAGAGGACCGAGAAGGACAUACCUCUGGUGUACCAGUUAUCGUGCCAACGGUAAACGCUGGGUAGCUAUGUAUGGAGAGGAUAACCGCUGAAAGCAUCUAAGUGGGAAGCCCACCUCAAGAUAAGUAUUCUCAC
rnacentral:rRNA from 1 species